rnacentral:lncRNA from 1 species
CCCAGAUCCCGGUGGCUGUGAUCGGUCAUUCCAGCUUCGUGCUGGCUGCAGGUGGAUGAUGCCCAGCUGGCUGCCGAUGACUUCUGCACCAAGUGAGGCUGGGUCUCUGGAGCUGCCCCAGGGACUGGACAAGCUGACCCUGGCCGGAGCCAACCUGGAGAUGCAGAUUGAGAACCUCAAGGAGGACCUGGUCUACCUGAAGAAGAACCAUGAGGAGGUGAGGAAAUGAACGCCCUUUGAGGUCAGGUGCACGAAGAUGUCAGUGUGAAGAUGGACACUGUGCCUGGAGUGAACCUGAGCUGCAUCCUGAAUGAGAUGUGUGACCAGGACAAGAAAUUGGUGGAGAAGAGCUGCAAGGAUGCCGAGGGCUGGUUCUUCAGCGUGGUGGGUGGCCGUGUGUAAGCAGAGAGAGGGGCUGAACUUCGAGGUGGCCACCAACACAGAGGCCCCACAGAGCGGCAGGACAGAGAUAUGGAGCUCUACAGCUCUGUGCAGAACCUGAACUGUCCCAGCUCAGCCAGGUAGGGCCUCUGUCCCCUCCCCACCCUGUAGCUGUCACCCCAGGGUGAGCCCAGCC